UAUUUUGAAGGUGGGUUUGGUUAGGAAAAGUUACUUUAAGUCCAUUGGAAAAUGGCGCCAUGGAGGGUGAUAGCCCCGUAAAAGUAUCCCUUUUCCUUUUAUCCAUUCCCUCCAAAGAGUCGAGUUGUUUGGGAAUGCAGCUCUAAGUGGGUGGUAAAUUCCAUCUAAAGCUAAAUAUUGGCGAGAGACCGAUAGCGAACAAGUACAGUGAUGGAAAGAUGAAAAGCACUUUGAAAAGAGAGUGAAAAAGUACGUGAAAUUGUUGAAAGGGAAGGGCUUGCAAGCAGACACAACCUCGGUUGGGCCAGCAUCGGAGUGGGGGGAGACAAAAAAGAAAAGGAAUGUAACUCCUUCGAGUAUUAUAGCCUUUUUCUCAUAUCUCCACCCCCUUCCGAGGCCUGCGAUCUCAAGGAUG
rnacentral:rRNA from 1 species